rnacentral:rRNA from 1 species
AUUGAACGCUGGCGGCGUGCUUAACACAUGCAAGUCGAACGAAGUGGCGAACGGGUGAGUAACGCGUAAUCAACCUGCCCUUCAGAGGGGGACACCAGUUGGAAACGACUGCUAAUACCGCAUACUGAUGGAGUGGAUUGCGUCUGAUUAGCUAGGUGGAGGGGUAACGGCCCACUAAGGCGAGGAGCAGUAGCCGGGCUGAGAGGAUGAACGGCGAAAUUGGGACUGAGACACGGCCCAGACUCCUACGGGAGGGAGCAGUGGGGAAUCUUCCGCAAUGGACGAAAGUCUGACGGAGCAACGCCGCGUGAGUGAUGACGGCCUUCGGGUGGUAAAGCUCUGUUAAUCGGGACGCGGUACCGGAAUAGAAAGCCACGGCUAACUACGUGCCAGCAGCCGCGGUAAUUC